rnacentral:tRNA from 1 species
GGAGCCGUGCCUGAAACUCAAGGGCCACUUUGAUAGAGUGAAACAUGGGGGUUAAAAUCCCCCCGCCUCCU